CUUCCGGCAAGGUUUCCGUCGCAAUACUCGUCGGUCAUCUGGAGGAACACGGCGGCGCAGUGCAGCGCCGCCACGUUGUGAACGGUGAUCUCGAAGUUAACGCCGUAACAGAAUUUCGCGGCUUUCUCAAAAGCUUCUUGUCCUCCAGGUAUGUUGGAAAUCUCUAUUCUUGUUAGGUCACUCUCCUCUGAUUCCAUUAUCACUUUUCUGAUGUAGUUACUCUUAGCCGCCAGAAUAAACUGUAAUGAAAAAAAAUUCAAUACUUAAUUAAAAUUCAUCACACGAAAUCACAGAAAUAGAUAUAUACAGAGAAUAAUCACGAAUCACGAACCACGAACAUGUUACCAACAAAACAUACAACAAUAUAUUGGUACCUUAUGGAGAGAAAAAGUGGAUUCUCCAACUGCAACAAUAACAUCGGUUGGGAUUUCUGGGGAGAAAACCCUGCAAGAAUAAUUGAUUGAUGAAAUUGAUUCUUACAAUAAUUAACUAACAUAAACACAUGUGACUAAAUGAUUUCAUGAAAUUGUGCAAUGGAGAAGAAAUAAUUGAUUAAGCUUUGAGAUUGAAAAUGAAGGAGUGGAGUGGGUGUUUACCAUUGCCCGGUUCUCUCCAUGGCAAGGGAGAAUCUGGUAGGGUUGGGGGUUGCCAUGGACUGAUGUAGUUGCUUUUUUUCGUGGUCUGAAUUGGAUUAGGGGUUUGAGAGUAACAGCAUGUUAUUAUAUGGUGUGCUUAGCUGUUGUUAUAAGGGGAUUUUUGAUCCCCGUAGAUUCAUUUCAUUAUUAUGAUUGUUAUCUUGUUAUGAGUUGAGGUUGUCACUGUGGUCCAUGUCUGUCAUGUUUCCUUUUUCCUCAGUUGUUGUUAUCUUAUUUAUCCUUUCAUUAAAGUGAUUCCUUUUUGAGCUGAGAGUAUCUAUCAUACCAUAAAUCUUUAAUUAGGACAGUUCAUGGAUUUUUUUUAUUCCAAAAGGCAGUAAGACUGUUCAUAGAUAUGAAGAGAUUAAAAAAAGGUGAAUAUGUGAUUAAAUAGUUAAUUUGUCAAGAUAAGAAAAAAAAAGUAAAUUAUAAAAGUAAUAUAAAAAUGAGCAAAAAAAGUUUUUAUCCCUCAAAAUAUUUUAGAAUGUUAGCUUUAGUUCUUAUAAAAAUUUAAUAUUUUUUAGGUCUAUAUUUUUAUUAAAAGUAAAGUAAUUUUAGUCUUUCAUAGAGAAAAAAAACAUGUUUAUAGAUAAAUGUAAGGAAAAAAAUAUAUUAAUUUUUUUAUAAAGAUUAAAAUUAAUAUUUAAAAUAUUUUGAAUGACAUUCGAUUGAAAUUUAUUAUAUAUACUGCAUCAUUACUCUAAGCUAAUGAUAUUCAAGUCUUUAAUUUUCUUAUUUUAGGAGACACUAUAAUUAAGGUGAUUCAAGAUUAUUAUGAUUUCAAAUAAUUUCUAUUCAACUCUAAUUAAAUAUUAUUAAUUCAUUUUUAUAAAUUAUAACUUGAAUAUGUGUGAUAUAAAAAUUGAUUAAAAUCAUAACACAAAAUAGUGUAAUUAAGAUUAUCUAAUAGUUUUUCAGUAUGUAUUUUAGUUACCAGUCACAGUCAGGGAAAAAUUAUUCAGCAAUAAGUCCAAUGCUAGCUAGGUCUCAGCGUGUGAGAAGUAACCAUUUGGCGUUUUGAAUUCAACUAAUGUUCAUACUUCAUAGGCUAUUGACCGCAAAGCCGAACCACACGGUUAAUCCGCUAGUUAGCUGCUUCCAUGCAAGUGGGAAGUUUGAAAUUGCCAGUUAACAACGACAAUUUUUUCGGUAGCUAUUCGAUAAUUUUAUUAUUCUCGUUCUUUGACUGAGAUUGUCUUACUUUCUUAUCUGUUUCCUUUUUCUUCAAUCUGCAUUAAUUUUCCUUUUUAAACUUGCAGAAUUAAUUUUCCUUUAAUUUUUUUCUUCACAUAAUUUUUAUAUGGGAGCUUGGAAAUGAUCCAGUUUGUUGUUCUAUACUGCUUGCCUAAUCAGAGUACACACGGACUGGUUAACUAGUUAUUAUUGAUUCAAAAAAGAUAAAUGAAUGUUUUUUUUAACAAUUAACACUAAGUAAAGAUUUAGAAUACCAUUGUUGAAGUUCAAAUAGAAACGCUAUUGAUUGCUGAAAGUUGGUGGUUGUCUAUAUAGGUGGUCAAUGAGUUUCAUUAAAGGCUACUAAUCUUAGUUAGGCCUCACAUUUGCCCCUCAAAAAGAAAGAAAAACAUUAGGGCAUACAAAAAAGACAGUUCUUCCUUUAUUUUCCCCAUGAGAAUAAGACUUUAAAAGACACUGAAGAAAUAUAUAUAUUGGCAUUUUAACAUUUACAAAGGAGGGGGAAAAAAAGCUCGUUAUAUAAUACUUCGGUGGUUUAACAUUUUAGUGAAAGUUUACACUUUGAAUAGCAAGCAAGGGAGAAAAGAUGAAAAGAAAAAACAAAUAAAAUAAAAUCCUUGCAUACAUAUAUUUCGGAGGAGUCAUUGCAUCAUUAAGUCCUUGCGACAACAUGAUCUUUUUUUGUUUUACCAUCUCCAUCUUGUUAGAUUUUGUCAUUAGUACUGUGUUAUAUAUUAUGCUCGUUGUUUCACCUCCUCAAUAAUAAGUUAUAAUAACUGAUAUGAUUUUGAGGUUACAAAUAUAUAAUAACAAAACAGGAAUUCACUUUAAUCACAUGUCGUCGGUUAAUGUUCACCUCAUCAUCAAUUUAAAACAUUGAGUGUGACAAAAUGUUCCUCUCGUUAAUUAUCCUAGCUCGAUGAAGUAUCAAAAGUGAUAAAAAGAAAAUAUGUAUACCAAAAGCAAUUAAAUGUAGGGCAGCAAUGUGGAGCUUGAUGUUAUAUGUUCAAAUUUAAUGGCACCAUGUGUGCACCACUGUAAAAGGAAAAGAAAAUGCAUACCAAUUCAUGAGCACCACAUAUAAAAUUCAAACCUAAAAACUAUAACAACGGAGUAUAUGGAUCUAGCUUAAUUAGCAAAGAUGUGUAAAAAAAAACCUUAAUUACCAAAGAAACUUAGAAGGGAUAUAUAUAUACAGAACAUAUUCUUUAAAAAAAUAAACAAAAAAAUGAAAAACUUAUUGUUCAUUUAAACUUAAGUUUUAGUCGAUCAUAUAUACUUAUUUGUUAUAGUUCUAUAAUACAAUACUUCUGGCUAUUAGCUACUUAAAAAAUGAUCACACAAUAUUUUGGGAAUUUUAUCAAAUUAGUGAAAUUACUAUAUAUAUAUAUAUAUAUAUAUAUAUAUAUAUAUAUGCAUGUAUGUAUGCUCUUUCUAUACUUACAAAUAUAUAGUAUAUAUAGAAUUAAAAGUUGUGAAAGUGUUAAGAACCAAAACACGUAAAAAAAAUUAAACUUAAAAAAUAGUUGUAGUUGUGAGAUUAACUGAUUAAGGAUCCAUUUGUUUUAUUGUUUUAAAUUUUUUUGUAUGUUAUUAAGAUGUAUAUUAAAAUUAAUUUAAUAAGAAAAUUUUCAUUUAGAAAAUUAAUUAUAUAUGAUAAAUUAGUUUGAUAAAAACUGUAUAAAAUGAAACUUAAAAAUACUGAGUUGUGAUUGAUUAAGUAUCCAAUAGCUUUAAAACUAACUCAAAUCAAUUUUAAACAACUUUUUGAGAGGUUAACAUUGAAAUUAAAUUAAUUUAAUUGUAAAUUUAACAUUUAAAAAAAUAUAUAAUACAAUGAAAAAUAACAAUAAUAAUGAAGCAUUGGGUGGAAGAUGGCGAUGGGACGUAAAGUGCAUGGAAUGGGAGCUAGGAAUUGAAACGGGAACAUGCAUAUGCAUGUAUGUGAAUUCAACAAGUUGUUUGUUGAGUUAGGGCAGCGUGUCUCCGCCACUCAAUCAAACGAGUGAUUCUGAUGCUUUAAUAUGUACGGCAUCUCUGAUACUAGGAUACAGAUCCGCCACGUCAUCCUUACACUGCACCUUGUCUCCCUGGGUCUCCACCAUCUUUCUUAUCCAUUAUUAAUGAUAUUUAUACACCUUUUCUUAUAUUAUUUUUGGAGAUCUCUCUUUUUUUGUGAUUGGACAAUACUAACACUUCUAAUUUAAUUUCAUGACUAUUUCUUAAUGUUAUAGUGAAAUCCAUCAAGAUAAUUUUUUAUAAAUUUUAAUCGACUACAGAAAAAAAUAUUAAAUAUAAAGUGUCAAAAAAUGUUAACAUUGCUAGCAUUAAUUCCUGAUGCAUAUAAUAAUUAAAUUUAGAAAAUAAAUUAUUUUUAAAUUAUCAUUUAAUCCCAAAAUAUUAUAUAUAAUAAUUAUUUUGAAAAUUACAUUAAUGAUCGAAUUUUGAUUAAUUAAUCAUAUAAAAGUUUUUACAUUUUGCUAUUGCACAGUGAUUAAACUCUUUGAAAUAACAAAGUGAAGACAUAUAUGUUGUAAUAUAUUUAUAAUUAAAAUAAUAUAAAAAAUUAGACGUCCAAAUUUAUUUUUCAAAUUAUUCCACCUCAAAAUUAUUCAACAGACUCUGACUUUUUUUUUUAUUUUAGGAAGAGAUGAUUCCGACUUUAUAACUCAUUUAUGCUACGUAUAUCAAGCUUUUUUGUUGAAUAAAGUGGAGAGAUGGAAAAUAAGUAGUACUGUCUCAAAAGUGAAGAGAAAAGUCAAAUGGUGGAAUGAGUGUGCUUUUUUUUUUUUUGGAAAAAGAUCAAAUUGUUCUCAUCUUUUAUAUAUAUAUAUAUAAUAAAAUUAUAUACAAUAUAGUAAUACUAAUAUUGGAUGUUUUCAUCUCUGACAAUAUAUAAGACAUUUUCUUCAAAUAACAAAAAAACAAGUUUGACCAACCUAAAAAGUCAGUAGCUCGCAUAAGUCAUAUUUUGUUGUGUUCAAAUUGGUGAAAAAUGAGAAAAUUCUACAAUAUUUUGGUAGAUCUUACACUUUUCUCUCUACUUUAAUUUAAAUAUUUAUUCUUCAUUUCAUUUUUUUAUUCUCUGUCAACUAAACUUAUCCAUAUGAUUGGGUUUAGACAUUAAUUUAGAAUAUUGAAUUGAAAACAGGUUUUUUUUAGCCCGGAUCGAUGUAAUUAACCUGCAACCCGCAGGCUAACCCGCCUUGGACUCGGUUGGUAGUCCAAGAAACAACAAUCCAUGCCCCCAAAGAUUGUGGCUUAGCAAGGCAUGUGUGGUUACUCCCCUUUCUCAAGAUCAACAUGAUUCAUAUCUCGUAGAUGACUUGAAUUCAAGGCUUGGUAACCACACCAAGCAUUCUAUAGAUAAAAAUUGGCAUACUUCAUUUGGUUUUACCAUUCGAGCCAUUGAAGAAACAAAAAACAAGUGAAUGUUAGUCAAGAUUAAACUAACUAGUGUUUUAAAAUUAAAAAAUGGUCAUUUAUUCAAUCAGAAUAUUAGCUAAAAAUAAUAAUUUCUUCCGAUCCAG
rnacentral:lncRNA from 1 species